rnacentral:lncRNA from 1 species
GGAACUUUCAGCCCUCCCCACUGACCUCCGGGAAGGGGAAGCGGGGGCUGCAGAUUAAGCUCUAUCGAAACUCUUGAGCAACAAGAUUUGAUGAGCUUGGGGGUUGGUGAAUGCAUCCACGUGCUGGGGGGGCUGCACACCUCAGUUCCACCUCUGAAACUCCUGUGCUUGGGAUCCUUCCAGACCUUGCCCUAUGUACCCUUUCAUCUGGUUAUUCAUCCGCACAGGUACCUUCCUAUUUAUAGCUUAUCUUCUCUAGGCUCUUGCCAGAGUUGAGAAUAGAAGCAGCUGUGGGACGUUGGAAAGAACCUCGGAUUUAAGUGGACUGGGGUUCAUACUGCAGCUCUGUCACUUACUAGCUGAGUGACUCUAGUAUGGUUUCUAAAUCUCUCUGGUCCACCAUCUUCUCAGGAAACAAUACCAUCUGGGUCCCAAGAAUAAACGAGAUUACUGGAGAAAUAUAUCACAUACUGUGGAAAAUGCAGAAACAAAAAUUAAAGAAAAG